rnacentral:rRNA from 1 species
CAGCAGCCACGGUAAUACGUAGGUGGCAAGCGUUGUCCGGAAUUAUUGGGCGUAAAGGGCUCGCAGGCGGUUUCUUAAGUCUGAUGUGAAAGCCCCCGGCUCAACCGGGGAGGGUCAUUGGAAACUGGGAAACUUGAGUGCAGAAGAGGAGAGUGGAAUCCCACGUGUAGCGGUGAAAUGCGUAGAGAUGUGGAGGAACACCAGUGGCGAAGGCGACUCUCUGGUCUGUAACUGACGCUGAGGAGCGAAAGCGUGGGGAGCGAACAGGAUUAGAUACCCCAGUAGUCCCUGUCUCUUAUAC